rnacentral:misc_RNA from 1 species
CUUGUCGGCGGAGGGGAGUAUUCCUUCGCUGCGGUGUCGUCAUCACGUCGGUCGUCUACGGACCGAUCGGUGCCGCAGACCGGUCGGCACGGCCGGUGGAAGAGACCUCCGGCGUUGUU